rnacentral:misc_RNA from 1 species
AACUUUCGACAACGGAUCACUUGGCUCUCGCAUCGAUGAAGAACGCAGCGAAAUGCGAUACGUAAUGUGAAUUGCAGAAUUCAGUGAAUCAUUGAAUCUUUGAACGCACCUUGCGCCCCUUGGAAUUCCGAGGGGCACACCCGUUUGAGUGUCGUGAACAUCCUUCAACCUUUCUUGGUUUCUUGACCGGGGAAGGCUUGGACUUUGGGGGUCUUUCAUUGCUGGCCUCUUUGAAGCCAGCUCCUCCUAAAUGGAUUAGUGUGGUCUGCUUUGCCGAUCCUUGACGUGAUAAGAUGUUUCUACGUCUUGGGUUUCGCACUGUCGCUUUAGACCCCGCUUCUAACCGUCUUGCAUUCAAGACAGAGUUUUAAACCUUGACCUCAAAUCGGGUGAGACUACCCGCUGAACUUAAGCAUAUCAAUAAGCGGAGGCU